CCGGGCCAGCCUGGCGUGCCGCGGGAAGAAGCUGCGUCCCUUGCCCCGUCGCCGCGUGGCGCAAGAAGAGGCCGAGACAAUGAUUCAGCCUCAGGAAACAGCUUCAAGGUCUCAUACCUUCAAAAACAAGUCUUUUAAAAAAUCUAGAAUCUGUGGAAUCUGCAAACAAGUAAUUGACAGCCAAGGAAUUUCUUGCAGAGUUUGCAAAUAUGCCUGCCACAGGAAAUGUGAAGAAAAG
rnacentral:lncRNA from 1 species